rnacentral:lncRNA from 1 species
UCAAUUCCUUUCUCCGACGAGAGGCUGGCAGUUAGGGUUUGAGUUCGAUGUGAUGAGAUAUAUUUAUACCCGUCUCGCUUAAAUCUGGAUUGUUUAUCGCAUUUGAUCUCGACUGUCCGAUUGCGUUUAAAGAGAAAAUGAAUCUGGAUCGUUCAUCGCGAUUUGAUCUCGACCGUCCGAUCGCGUUUAAAGAGUGAACAAAUUUGAACCGUUCAUCGCGUUUAAUCGCGACUGUCCGAUCGCACUUGAGGAAGAAACGGAUCCGAACUGCCCACGCGUGCAGAAACA